AUUCGCACAUUCAGUCCAGGGAUCUGAACGAGAGGGUUGGAGAAAUCAGAUUCGCUUAUGCAAGAAAAAAGAGGGAGGAAGAGAUGGCUAAAGAGAAGGAGCAGAAUAAUUUAUUCAAAGUUGUUGUCAGUCAGCUUAAAGUUCCAACUGAUACAAUGGAGAAAUGGGAUGCAGAAAGUAUUGGAGGCGAAGCAAAAUAAUCAGAAUAAAUCGAAAGGAGUAUAAUCAGAACAAAUCAAAAGGAGUAUAAUCAAAAC